UCAUAGAUGAGCAAAGGACUAGUAGUACCUAGUACCUACUACCACGAUGACCUCUGCUCUAUCGCUAGUUCUUCCGUGAGCUACUUAAGCAGAGCCAUGGGACGCUACCUGCUGCGAGGUGCAGUCCCACGGUAACACACAUCUGAAUAUCUGAUCUGCAGAAGGAGGAGUAACCGGUGGUGAUGUUGGGUUGGCGACCAUUGCCGGCAACAGCAGUGACUGCUGUCCUGCUUCUGUGGGUAUUCAGCUGUAACCAUGGGGAAGCAAGGAUUGAUUUUGCUAACAUGACUGCACUCCAAAAGCAUGCCGAAUUUUUUGACCGGGAUAAAGAUGGCAUCAUUACACCUUCAGAGAUGUUUGAAGGUGGAUCUGCCCGUGAAGCUUCCCAGUCACCAGGUCAGAUUCUUUAACACUCAAACUUAGGAUCACAAACUCAUCAUUAUCUGUGACAUGUAACAGCAUAUGAGGAUACAUUUUCUAGUAAAAAACUAACAUUCAGUCUUAAGACAAAAAUAAAUUGAUUAACAGUUUGCUGCUAUUGUCUAAAAUGUGAUAAAACAGGAUGAGUAAGGCACAAAUAUACACUACGAAAACACAUAAUUACUCAUAUUUGGAUGAGAACCUGAUAUUGACAAAAUAUUUUGCAAUGAUCAGAACUCAGAAGCAACUCUAGAGCACAUGUGACACAUGUACUCACAACUUGGAUGAGACAUAACAUUCAACCUUAGAGUAAGCCCCUUGCCUAGGUAGCCAACUACUAUAUAAACAGCAGGACAUGUAGAAAGGCCGGGAGCACCCAAAUCAGAAACCUUUUUGCAAGGCUAACUUAACUAAUGCACAUGCAGAACAAAUACUUGAGGCGCAAUAAUUCAAGAGUUAGUGAAAAGGCAAUCUGAAACGACCGCUGCAAACAGUCAAACACAACCCACCCAAUCCAAACUUGCAGCUUCAGAGCACAAGGAAGAAAUGGACAUACAUCAGUUAACAUUAUUACCUCUAUAGUGUGCCCAUCAACACGAUAGCCUCCAUGAUAAGUGUUUUAUUCAAUCUGCAAAGCACAGAAACCUUAAUUUAGCUCAUGAAGAUAUGGGAUCAUUUUUUUAGAGUUUUAGGAGAUGAAACACCACGUCUUAAUGCAAAGCAAAAGACUGUCAUCGUUUACAGCAAAUGAAUGGACAAGCCAUUCUACAGCUUGUAGACAGGGCCAAACAAAACAAGAAAGCUCUACUCAAACAGAAUGACACCCUCGAGACAAGAUCAAUUUCUCCUUUAUUAGUGAUUCUUUAAAGAAUUAUUGACGAUUUGAAUUCUUUCCCACAUGUUCCUUCUAUUUUAAGCAAAGCACCAUCAGCGGUCAAGAAAAUAAUUCAGGUUUAGAUCGAGGAGCCCUGCUUGCUAGUAUGGCUUUGAGCCUACAAAAAUAGCAAUUCUGUUUUUCUUUACAAUGGUGCAUCAUAAUACUUGGAUCACAACAGCAGAGCAUCAUAAUACUUGGAUCACACAUUUGCUUCAAAUUCAUCAAAUCAAAACAAAAUAAAAAAUGAUAUGUUUGGUGACCACGCAUCCUUACAGUGAUAAGUUGCUCAUCAUGCCAAAAAAUGAUGAGGAUCAAUGCAAGAUGAUUAUCAAGUAGUCAUGACAUAUCUCAUUUGUUCUUCAUAAUGUUUAGUGAGUCAUGACCUGCAUAAUUAGAAAAUGCACCCUGCUAAUAAUAAACCAUAAUCCUAAACCAGAUAUUUCUGAAUAUAAUGGCCUGGCUAUACUAUUCUUCUCAGAUGAAAGGUAUCUACACCUUAUUAGCCUCGCAUAAUUUUUUGCUACACUGUCGUCGAUUGUUUUUUCUGUUUAGAAUGCAUUAGCCAUUAUAUGGAUCUUAAUUAUGUCAGAUAGACUAUAUGGGUCAUGGUAAGGUCUUGUCAGCGGCUAAAAUUCCAACUUUGCAUGACGGAGGCCCCGGCCGAUGAUGUUUCAAAGAAAAAUCACAAAGUUCAUAUUCCUAAUGUAAAGAUCCACACAAGAAAAAUUAUCAUCUGUGUUCGAGAAAAAGAAAAAUUAUCAUCUAGAACUAUCUUACUCUGUUUCAUAUAUUUUGUCAGCCUCUAUAUGUUGAUAGCAGAACCAAAAAGAAAGACCCUGAUCCUUGGAAUCCAUGGGUCUGUGGCGCAGCAGUUGAUUAAUGAACCAUUUCAACCAAAUUUAGCGAGCAAACAGACAAUAUGUUAUAAGCAAGCUCACCUCUUCUAGCAUGAGUGGACACAAACCAGCCAUCUUCCUAGACACUGAAUCAACUGUUAGCCGUUCCUUUACCGUUCCUCGUUUGAUCAUCUGAUUCCUUCUAGACUAAAUAAGCUCCGUAUGAAUAUCCUAGAAAUAAUCAAAUUAACCAGUCAAAGGAAGUCCGACAUAUAGACCCUGUUCGCUGUGCUGUUGCUGGUGGCUGGUACUGAUUUGUUGUGAGAGAAAAGUACUGCUGGCUGCUGGCUGGUGCUGGUUUGGUGUGAGAAAAACACUAUUUGCUGGAUGCAGCAAACAGAGUGAUAGAUGCUGGAAGCAAGGCUAUCCAGAUUCCAUACUGAACACAAGAAUUCUAAGCAGUAGCCUCCAAAAGGUUGCAGUAUAUUACUUCAAAAGAAAAGGUUGUAGUAUGAUAGGAAAUCCAAUGUUUAUCUAUGAUAGGAAUUCUUAUUCAGAUUGUAUUACCAUCCUACUUUAUUAGUAUUUUUUCCCCCUUUGAUCAGAGGCAAGCCAGCUCUCGCAAAUCAGGACAGGCAUAUGGAAGUAGCUGGCACUGCCAAAUGAUGCUGCGUUUGACUUGUAUGUUACCUCAGUUGAUGACAAACCGAAGUACCUA